rnacentral:rRNA from 1 species
AUGCUGCUCCCCUUCGAAGUCGAAGCAGCGCCAGCCACCGGAGCUCCUUCCCUUUGGCGAGAACAGCUAGCAAGCAGCAAGCGCCGCGACCCGCGAGCCUCCGACCCGUCGACCCGGACCAGAGGGCCGCCGCCGCCCAGAGGAGCUCUUCCCGCCCGCGCCUCCCACCCCGAGGCCGACGCCCUCGACCCCUCGUAUCCUCUCAUCCGGUCAUCCCCCGCUCGGCCUUUGCUUGAUUUUAUUCAGGUGAGAUACUGUACUGAACCAAAGAUGAAGAGGAAUGGUGACAUUAAGUCCUUUUUUCAGAAUUAUGAGGCUGCUAAAAGAAGGAAGGUUGCAGCCGAAGGGCAACCGGAAUAUGAAGAUAUAGUGUCAAAUAUUGAAGAUGAAGCAGUCCUUCCUCCGCCUCUAGUCCAUUCUGCAGAGUUUGAAGUUGAUAUUGAAGAUGAAGCAUUCCAUUCCGAUGCAGAGAUUGAAAGUGAAAGUGAAGAUGAAGCAGCAUCAGCGCAACAUCCGUGUGCAAGGCCAUAUAAUAUUCAAAGGCUUCCUCCUGAUCCAGGGGAGAUGAUUCCUAUUUCAGAGUAUGAUGUCAAUGAUCAAGAUGAAGUUCGGAGACGAUACAUUGCAAAGCAAGCAGUCCAACCAUAUGCACACAACUUUCAAGUCAGGAAAAUCUAUGGUAAAAAUCGACACUUCAACUUUGUUUGGUUUGAGACCUACAAAUGGCUAGAAUAUAGUGUCAAAUAUGAGGCAGCAUUUUGCUUUGUGUGUUAUUUGUUCAAAGGAAAAUCGAAUGGGGGGCCUAGGGAUGAUGCCUUUGUUAAUGGUGGUUGGAAAAAUUGGUAUAAGCCCGAUGCAUUGGUCAAACAUGUUGGUGGUAUUAAUAGCAUUCACAAUAAAGCUCAAGAGAAGUACAAUUUAUUUGUGGCACCCCAACCAUCAAUUGAUAACAUUAUGGUGAGGGUGGAUAAAGAGGAUUUGCGUAUGUACAAGGCUAGGCUGACUUAUUCACUUAGAUGCUUGAGGUUUCUUUUGAACCAAGGAUUGGCAUUUCGUGGACAUGAUGAGAGUGAAGAAUCUAGCAAUAGGGGGAACUUUCUUGAACUUCUUAAAUGGCUUUCGGAAAAUGAUGAAGAAGUUAAUAAACUUGUUUUGAACAAUGCUCCUGGGAAUUGCAUCUUGACUAGUCCAAAGACACAAAAUCAAAUAAUUGAAUGUUGUGCGGCGCAAACAACUAAAAGAAUUAUUGAAGAUAUUGGUGACGACCACUAUGCAAUCCUAGCUGAUGAGUCUAGUGAUGCAUCUCAUAAAGAACAACUUGCUCUCUGCAUAUGA